rnacentral:rRNA from 2 species
AGAGUUUGAUCCUGGCUCAGAUUGAACGCUGGCGGCAUGCCUUACACAUGCAAGUCGAACGGUAGAGGGGCAACCCUUGAGAGUGGCGAACGGGUGAGUAAUGCAUCGGAACGUGCCCAGUCGUGGGGGAUAACGCAGCGAAAGCUGUGCUAAUACCGCAUGUGAUCUGUGGAUGAAAGCAGGGGACUUGGUAGCAAUACUGGGCCUUGUGCGAUUGGAGCGGCCGAUGUCAGAUUAGCUAGUUGGUAGGGUAAAAGCCUACCAAGGCGACGAUCUGUAGCUGGUCUGAGAGGACGACCAGCCACACUGGGACUGAGACACGGCCCAGACUCCUACGGGAGGCAGCAGUGGGGAAUUUUGGACAAUGGGCGCAAGCCUGAUCCAGCAAUGCCGCGUGCAGGACGAAGGCCUUCGGGUUGUAAACUGCUUUUGUACGGAGCGAAACGGUCUGGGUUAAUACCCUAGGCUAAUGACGGUACCGUAAGAAUAAGCACCGGCUAACUACGUGCCAGCCGCCGCGGUAAUAC